UACAGAGGUGGCAAGCGUUGUUCGGAAUUACUGGGCGUAAAGGGCGCGUAGGCGGCUCGACAAGUCCCGCGUGAAAGCCCCCGGCUCAACUGGGGGAACUGCGUGUGAGACUGGCAGGCUUGAGUGCAGGAGAGGAACGCGGAAUUCCAGGUGUAGCGGUGAAAUGCGUAGAUAUCUGGAGGAACACCGGUGGCGAAGGCGGCGUUCUGGACUGUUUCUGACACUGAUAGACGAAAGCCAGGGGAGCAAACGGG
rnacentral:rRNA from 1 species